CACAAUAACAAGCCGAGCAUCAUUUUCCUUUGCCAUGUCCAACAACCUAUCGAGAUGGGCCCGACGAGAGAGCGGAGAGUCGAUGACAACGCUUAAUCCCAAGUCGAGUUGAGUUGAGACCACGUUCCACAUGACUUCAUAUGAUAGGUCGUUGAGAAGUUUAGUUGCUUUGGAGGGUGUGGAUGGCAAAAGGGUUUGCUCGAGUGUGUGUGUAGAGUCUCGAAAAUGGUCUUUAUCUAUAAGAGGGCACUUGAGGGUCCUGGCUAUGGCGUGAGCCAGAGUGCUUUUACCUGUCCCUGGAUGCCCUUUCAUGGCUAUGAUAAUUGGCCUCUCUUUCACUAAAUUAAUCUCUUCCUCCUCCAUAAGAUGGAUCGAUGAACAGAAACUCUAUACUGCCGGCUCUGUUGAAGAUGUCAAUCCGCCUUCGCCACUCCGCCUCAUCCCCCGGCUUGCACUCCACAAUAACAAGCCGAGCAUCAUUUUCCUUUGCCAUGUCCAACAACCUAUCGAGAUGGGCCCGACGAGAGAGCGGAGAGUCGAUGACAACGCUUAAUCCCAAGUCGAGUUGAGUUGAGACCACGUUCCACAUGACUUCAUAUGAUAGGUCGUUGAGAAGUUUAGUUGCUUUGGAGGGUGUGGAUGGCAAAAGGGUUUGCUCGAGUGUGUGUGUAGAGUCUCGAAAAUGGUCUUUAUCUAUAAGAGGGCACUUGAGGGUCCUGGCUAUGGCGUGAGCCAGAGUGCUUUUACCUGUCCCUGGAUGCCCUUUC
rnacentral:lncRNA from 1 species